rnacentral:rRNA from 1 species
GUACGAAGGGGAGCUAGCGUUGCUCGGAAUCACUGGGCGUAAAGCGCACGUAGGCGGAUUGUUAAGUCAGGGUGAAAUCCUGGAGCUCAACGUCCAGAACUGCCUUGAUACUGGCGAUCUCGAGUCCGGGAGAGGUGAGUGGAACUGCGAGUGUAGAGGUGAAAUUCGUAGAUAUUCGCAAGAACACCAGUGGCGAAGGCGGCUCACUGGCCCGGUACUGACGCUGA